rnacentral:rRNA from 1 species
CACGUAGGGCGCAAGCGUUGUCCGGAAUUAUUGGGCGUAAAGAGCUCGUAGGCGGUCUGUUACGUCUGCUGUGAAAACUCGGGGCUUAACCCCGAGCCUGCAGUGGAUACGGGCAGACUAGAGGUAGGUAGGGGAGAAUGGAAUUCCCGGUGUAGCGGUGAAAUGCGCAGAUAUCGGGAGGAACACCGGUGACGAAGGCGGCGACCUGGGUAGAUACUGACGCUGAGGCGCGAAAGCGUGGGGAGCAAACAGG